GAUGAACGCUGGCGGCGUGCUUAACACAUGCAAGUCGAACGGUGAACACGGAGCUUGCUCUGUGGGAUCAGUGGCGAACGGGUGAGUAACACGUGAGCAACCUGCCCCUGACUCUGGGAUAAGCGCUGGAAACGGCGUCUAAUACUGGAUACGAGUAGCGACCGCAUGGUCAGUUACUGGAAAGAUUUAUUGGUUGGGGAUGGGCUCGCGGCCUAUCAGCUUGUUGGUGAGGUAAUGGCUCACCAAGGCGUCGACGGGUAGCCGGCCUGAGAGGGUGACCGGCCACACUGGGACUGAGACACGGCCCAGACUCCUACGGGAGGCAGCAGUGGGGAAUAUUGCACAAUGGGCGCAAGCCUGAUGCAGCAACGCCGCGUGAGGGAUGACGGCCUUCGGGUUGUAAACCUCUUUUAGCAGGGAAGAAGCGAAAG
rnacentral:rRNA from 1 species